AAGACCAUCCUUUCAGGGAUCAUUUCUGUAGCUGGUUACUCGAGAAGCCUCUCUGAAUGGGUAGAGCUCCGGAAACCACGAGGCGGCAGCGCAGCGUUCACACCUGAGCAUAAAGCGGCUCUUGGUGUCGCUUUACUGCAGUUACCAUUUCCCAUUGAUGAUCAUUCUUCUUUUCCUUUGGGGGAGUAAGAGGGAGAAAAUAAAUAAAU
rfam:Otolemur garnettii contig013772, whole genome shotgun sequence.